rnacentral:rRNA from 1 species
AGAGGAAAGGAGCAAUCCGCUAAUAGAUGGGUCCGCGUCCCAUUAGCUAGUUGGAGGUGUAAUGGACCCCCAAGGCGACGAUGGGUAGCCGGCCUGAGAGGGUGGACGGCCACACUGGAACUGAGACACGGUCCAGACUCCUACGGGAGGCAGCAGUGGGGAAUCUUCCGCAAUGGGCGAAAGCCUGACGGAGCAACGCCGCGUGAAUGAUGAAGGCCUUCGGGUCGUAAAAUUCUGUCUUCAGGGAAGAAACAAAUGACGGUACCUGAGGAGGAAGCCCCGGCUAACUACGUGCCAGCAGCCGCGGUAAUACGUAGGGGGCGAGCGUUGUCCGGAAUUACUGGGCGUAAAGGGCGCGUAGGCGGUUUCUUUAGUCAGAGGUGAAAACUGUGGGCUCAACCCACAGCCUGCCUUUGAAACUGGGAGACUUGAGUGCAGGAGAGGGGAGUGGAAUUCCCGGUGUAGCGGUGAUAUGCGUAGAUAUCGGGAGGAACACCAGUGGCGAAGGCGGCUCUCUGGCCUGUUACUGACGCUGAGGCGCGAAAGCGUGGGGAUCAAACAGGAUUAGAUACCCUGGUAGUCCACGCCGUAAACGAUGGGUGCUAGGUGUAGGAGGUAUCGACCCCUUCUGUGCCGUAGUUAACACAAUAAGCACCCCGCC